rnacentral:misc_RNA from 1 species
UCUCCGUUGGUGAACCAGCGGAGGGAUCAUUACCGAGUUUACAACUCCCAAACCCCUGUGAACAUACCUGUUUUGUUGCUUCGGCGGUGCCCUCGCUCUCGCGGCGAGGCCCGCCAGAGGACCCAAACAAACUCUUUGACUUUGAUCUGGGAUUAUACUUCUGAGUGAUACAGAAAAUAAAAUCAAAACUUACAACAACGGAUCUCUUGGUUCUG